AUUUAACGCAGUCUCCAAGGUAUUGAAAGACCCCCGGAGCGGGGAGACCCUCACUCAAAUCUCGGGAUGACGGGACCCCCCAAGAACUCACACAAGACC
rnacentral:pre_miRNA from 14 species